ensembl:lncRNA
UAGUAAUUUCACAAUGCAUACAUAUAUCAAUUAUCAUGUUAAACACCUUAAAUAUAUACAUUUUUUGUGAGUCAGGGUUUUGUUCUGCCACCCAGGCUCGAGUGAAGUUGGGUGAUCGUGGCCCACUGCAGCCUCAAACUUCCAGGCUCAAAGGAUGUAGCUCAGCUUCCCAAGUAGCUAGAAUCACAGGCACACAGAAAAACUCGAUGGAGGAUAGCUGUGAAAGGAACUGGUUCUUAAAGGAGGGAAAAGGUAUGGAGCAGCACACUGAAAGAUUUCCAGAAAUGGAAAUGCUAGUGGCUGGGAAAAGGGACAUAGAGAGGACGUUUUAGGUAAAGGAGGUGUUAUUAGCAAAACAAAGGAGUGGGUGAAUGUAAGGAACAGAACAGCACAUGUGAAGAGAAGUACUAUACCUUCAGAGUGCAAAAGUAAGAUUGACUCAAUAUAUGGAAGGCUAUUUUUUUUUAAUAAACGUAUAUCGUAUCAGCCAAGCACAGUGGCUCCCACCUGUAAUCCCAGCAUUUUGGGAGGGCGAGGCAGGUGGAUCACUCGAGCUCAGGAGUUCCAGACUAGCAUGGGCAACAUGGCAAAACUCCAUUUCUACAAAAACUGCAAAAAUUAGCCAGGUGUGGUGGUGCAGGCUGGUAGUCCCAGCUACUGGAGAGGCUGAGGUGGGAGGAUGGCUUGAGCAUGGGAGGUUGAGGCUGCAGUGAGCUGAGAUCAUGACCCUGCACUGCAGCCUGGGUGACAGAACAAGACACUGUCUCAACGAAGAAAAAGUAAAUUAUAUCAUGUUUUUCACACUUUUAAAAUUGUCCAGUGGAUUCCUAUAACCCUUAGAUUUAGUGACACCUCACCAUGGCCUACAGAGACCCCAUAAUGUAUCCUUGUCUGCCUCUCCGGCUAACCUUUUCCACCCUUCCUGGGACUCACCGCAAUCCAAUGCCUCAGUUCCUCCAGGCCUCAGUUCCUCCAGGGACUCAACAAGUUCACUCUUGUUCCAGUUCUUAGAACUUGCUGCCACCUCAUUGCUCUCUCCCCACAUCUUGAAAUUGUUUCCUUGUGAUUCACCUGUCAGCCCAAGUAGCUUUUCUUCAGUGACAAAUCCCUGCUACUUAAUUAAGUCAUUGUCACCACUGUACCUCAACCUGCAAUCAUUCUCUAAUGUGUUUAACAACCAAAACUUAUUCUUUGAUUUGUUCAUUUUGAGAGUUCUAUUUGGGAUGACAGAACGUUAGAAAAUAGGAUGAUCGCACUUUAUGAAUAUACUGAAAAGCAUUGAGUUGCACACUUUAAAUUGGUGACCAGUAUGAUAUGUGAAUUAUAUCUCCAUAAAGCUGUUAGAAAAAGAAAAAAGAAAUAAAAGGGAAGAAAGGAAAGAAAAAUAAAGACAGGAAAGAAGAGAUCAAAAGGCUCUGGAAACUCAAAAGUGUGUCUUCAUUCAAUAUAGAAGCUCCCACAGCUAUUAUUCACUGAAGUGCCAAAGUCAUACUCUGUCAUUAUCCCUCUUUAGCACUUAUGUGACUUUAGCUGUGACUUACAUGACUUCUCAAAUAGUUCUUUAAAUUGUUCUUUCUGACUCAAGGAAGACCUUAGUUGAUUUUCUUUCAAACUUCAUCUUUUUUUUUUUUUUUUUUCUGAGCUGGAGUCUCACUGUGUUGCCCAGGUUAGAGUAAAAUGGCAUGAUCUCAGCUCACUGUAACCUCUGUCUCCCAGGUUCAAGUGAUUCUCCUGCCUCAACCUCCCAAGUAGCUGGGCAUGUGCCACCGUGCCCAGCCUCAUCUUUUAUUUUUUAAAGAAAAACUAUUUCCCAAUGGUCAGAUAGGGGUGACAGUAAGACUUGUUCAUUAGCAAAGAUUUGCAAGUAAUGUCUUUGUGCACAUUACAACUUUCAAAACAAGACCUGGUCUUUCCGGUGGAGGUCAAAAUUUUAUCAAAUGACAGUAGGAAGAGAGAUGACUAAGGAUGAAUGAUGCUUAAUUGAAGACAUUAGUGAGAAAGCAGAAAAAAAAAUGUACCCCCUCCAGAUCUGAAGCAAUAUUGACAAAAAUGGUUGGGAAGUACUGCUCUGGCCAGUCACAUUGUUUUCGAUAGCACAUGUCA